AUUGAACGCUGGCGGCAGCCUAACACCUGCAAGUCGAGCGGAUGAAGGGAGCUUGCUCCUGGAUUCAGCGGCGGACGGGUGAGUAAUGCCUAGGAAUCUGCCUGGUAGUGGGGGAUAACGCCCGGAAACGGGCGCUAAUACCGCAUACGUCCUGAGGGAGAAAGUGGGGGAUCUUCGGACCUCACGCUAUCAGAUGAGCCUAGGUCGGAUUAGCUAGUUGGUGGGGUAAAGGCCUACCAAGGCGACGAUCCGUAACUGGUCUGAGAGGAUGAUCAGUCACACUGGAACUGAGACACGGUCCAGACUCCUACGGGAGGCAGCAGUGGGGAAUAUUGGACAAUGGGCGAAAGCCUGAUCCAGCCAUGCCGCGUGUGUGAAGAAGGUCUUCGGAUUGUAAAGCACUUUAAGUUGGGAGGAAGGGCAGUAAGUUAAUACCUUGCUGUUUUGACGUUACCAACAGAAUAAGCACCGGCUAACUUCGUG
rnacentral:rRNA from 1 species